rnacentral:rRNA from 1 species
AUUGAACGCUGGCGGCAGGCCUAACACAUGCAAGUCGAACGAGUGGCGGACGGGUGAGUAAUGUCUGGGGAUCUGCCCGAUAGAGGGGGAUAACUACUGGAAACGGUGGCUAAUACCGCAUACCAUCGGAUGUGCCCAUAUGGGAUUAGCUUGUUGGUGGGGUAAAGGCUCACCAAGGCGACGAUCCCUAGCUGGUCUGAGAGGAUGAUCAGCCACACUGGAACUGAGACACGGUCCAGACUCCUACGGGAGGCAGCAGUGGGGAAUAUUGCACAAUGGGCGCAAGCCUGAUGCAGCCAUGCCGCGUGUAUGAAGAAGGCCUUCGGGUUGUAAAGUACUUUCAGCGGGGAGGCGUUACCCGCAGAAGAAGCACCGGCUAACUCCGUGCCAGCAGCCGCGGUAAUUC